rnacentral:rRNA from 1 species
GACGAACGCUGGCGGCGUGCCUAAUACAUGCAAGUAGAACGCUGAAGGAGGAGCUUGCUUCUCUGGAUGAGUUGCGAACGGGUGAGUAACGCGUAGGUAACCUGCCUGGUAGCGGGGGAUAACUAUUGGAAACGAUAGCUAAUACCGCAUAAGAGUAGAUGUUGCAUGACAUUUGCUUAAAAGGUGCAAUUGCAUCACUACCAGAUGGACCUGCGUUGUAUUAGCUAGUUGGUGAGGUAACGGCUCACCAAGGCAACGAUACAUAGCCGACCUGAGAGGGUGAUCGGCCACACUGGGACUGAGACACGGCCCAGACUCCUACGGGAGGCAGCAGUAGGGAAUCUUCGGCAAUGGACGGAAGUCUGACCGAGCAACGCCGCGUGAGUGAAGAAGGGUUUCGGAUCGUAAAGCUCUGUUGUAAGAGAAGAACGAGUGUGAGAGUGGAAAGUUCACACUGUGACGGUAGCUUACCAGAAAGAGACGGCUAACUACGUG